UACUUUUGCAGGAAAAGGUAGGAGCUUCACUUUUAGCAGACAAGGCGGCGCUACAGUUUUUAGAAGGCAUACAGAACUACAGAUUAGAAGAGAUAUUAUCUGCCACCAACAACUUUUCGGAUGGAAAUCUCAUUACGGAAGGUAGAUUAGGAAAGGUGUACAAAGGACAAUAUUUGCAUUAUGGGAAUUUGGUGAAUUUUGCCGUACGAAGGUUGGAUCGUGAGUACGGGUAAGGAGAUGAGUUUGAGACGGAGAUUUUAAUGUUUAAGAGUCUCCAACAUAAAAAUAUUGUUUCCUUCUUUUGGCUUUGUGAUGAGGAUAAUGAAAAGAUAGGGUGAUUAUUUUGUUUGUAUUAUUGAUGUAUUAUAAAUUAUCCAUGAAGACUGCUACAUAAGGGUGAUUA